rnacentral:rRNA from 1 species
GAUGAACGCUAGCGGCAGGCCUAACACAUGCAAGUCGAACGGUAACAUGAGAGAGCUUGCUCUUUUGAUGACGAGUGGCGCACGGGUGCGCAACGCGUAUAGAACCUACCCUGUACAGGGGGAUAGCCCAGGGAAACUUGGAUUAAUACCCCGUGGAAACGUGAUAUGGCAUCAUAUUAUGUUUAAAGCUUUCGGGCGGUACGGGAUGGCUAUGCGUCUUAUUAGCUAGUAGGUAAGGUAACGGCUUACCUAGGCUUCGAUAAGUAGGGGCCCUGAGAGGGGGAUCCCCCACACUGGUACUGAGACACGGACCAG